rnacentral:rRNA from 1 species
UACGUAGGGUGCAAGCGUUGUUCGGAAUCAUUGGGCGUAAAGCGCGUGUAGGCGGUUAAGUAAGUCGGCUGUGAAAGCCCUCGGCUCAACCGGGGAAGUGCAUCCGAAACUACAUAGCUAGAGGACGGUAGAGGAAGGUGGAAUUCCUAGUGUAGAGGUGAAAUUCGUAGAUAUUAGGAGGAACACCGGCGGCGAAGGCGACUAUCUGGCUGAUAACUGACGCUGAGACGCGAAAGCAUGGGGAGCAAACAGG